GCUUACGGCCACACCCGCCUGGUUCACGCCUGAUCUCGGAAGCUAAGAUAGGUUGGGCCUGGUUAGUACUUGGAUGGGAGACCGCCUGGGAAUACCAGGUGCUGCAAGCU
rnacentral:rRNA from 1 species